UGCAGUCGAACGGUGAUAGCAAUAUCAUAGUGGCGCACGGGUGCGUAACACGUAUGCAACCUACCUUAUACUGAGGGAUAGCCUUUCGAAAGGGAGAUUAAUACCUCAUAACACAUUGAACUGGCAUCAGUUUAUUGUUAAAGAUUUAUUGGUAUAAGAUGGGCAUGCGUCCAAUUAGUUAGUCGGCGAGGUAACGGCUCACCAAGACGAUGAUUGGUAGGGGAACUGAGAGGUUAAUCCCCCACACUGGCACUGAGAUACGGGCCAGACUCCUACGGGAGGCAGCAGUAGGGAAUAUUGGGCAACGGAGGCAACUCUGACCCAGCCAUGCCGCGUGCAGGAAGAAGGCGUUAUGCGUUGUAAACUGCUUUUAUAUAGGAAGAAAUAGACCUUGCGAGGUAAGUUGACGGUACUAUAUGAAUAAGCACCGGCUAACUCCGUGCCAGCAGCCGCGGUAAUACGGAGGGUGCAAGCGUUGUCCGGAUUUAUUGGGUUUAAAGGGUGCGUAGGCGGUUUAUUAAGUCAGUGGUGAAAGACGGUCGCUCAACGAUUGCAGUGCCAUUGAUACUGGUAGACUUGAGUGGGAUUGAGGUAGCUGGAAUGGAUAGUGUAGCGGUGAAAUGCAUAGAUAUUAUCCAGAACACCAAUUGCGUAGGCAAGUUACUAAGUCUCAACUGACGCUGAG
rnacentral:rRNA from 1 species